rnacentral:rRNA from 1 species
AACGAACGCUGGCGGCGUGGAUAAGACAUGCAAGUCGAACGGGACUUUUUCUGGUAGCAAUACCGGAAAAAGUCUAGUGGCGAACGGGUGCGUAACACGUGGACAAUCUGCCUUAAAGUGGGGGAUAGCUCGGCGAAAGCCGAAUUAAUACCGCAUGUGAUGAGGGAAGACAUCUUUCCGAAAUCAAAGCCGGGGCAACCUGGCGCUUUUUGAGGAGUCCGCGGCCUAUCAGCUUGUUGGUGAGGUAACGGCUCACCAAGGCUAUGACGGGUAGCUGGUCUGAGAGGACGACCAGUCACACUGGAACUGAGACACGGUCCAGACACCUACGGGUGGCAGCAGUCGAGUAAUUUUUCUCAAGUGGGGGAAACCCUGAAGGAGCGACGCCGCGUGGAGGAUGAAGGUCUUCGGGUUGUAAACUCCUGUCAUUUGAG